GGGGAUGAUCCGGUUUCGACGGGGGUGUCGAGGGCGGGAUAAGCGAGCCGCGGACCCUGAACCGCGCAACAACGGGGAAAAAAAGUAACUGACAAUAACGAAUUCGCUUUCGCGGCCUAAUGCCGCGACGGUGGCCCGGGCCGCCCGUGAGCCCGGUCACCACCGUCAUUUUCACGGGGAACGAGCGCGCCUAAGCUUUGCCGCGCGUCCGUAACAUGAAGCUACCAAGACCGUAAGCCUGUCUGCGGGCGUGCGGCCGAGGGAAUGUCAAAUCACAGACUGCGCUCGGAGAAGGUUCCGUUCAAGAGCUUUCGGACAGGGGUUCGACUCCCCUCAUCUCCAC
rnacentral:tmRNA from 1 species